GAUGAACGCUGGCGGCGUGCCUAAUACAUGCAAGUCGAGCGGACAGACCCGGCGCUUGUGCCUCUGACGUUAGCGGCACACGUGUGUGUAACGCGUGUAUCACCUCCCUGUCAUUCGGGGAUCACCUCGAAACUCCGGCGCUAAUCCCAUAUAAUAUCUUGCACCGCAUUGUUCAAUGGUGAAUUUCGGCUUUGCUGUCACUACUCGCUGCAUCCGCGCCGCAUGAGCUAGUUGGUAAGGUCACGGCUUACGAAGGCUACGAUGCGUAGACGAACUGACAGGGUGAUAGGCCACACUGGAACUGAGCCACGCACCAGACGCCUACGGGAGGGAGCAGUAGGGAAUCUGCCGCAAUGGGCGAAAGCCUGACGGAGCAACGCCGCGUGAGUGAUGAAGGUGUUCGGAUCGUAAAGACCUGUUAUUAGGGAAGAACAAAUGUGUAAGUAAAUAUGCACGUCUUGACGGUACCUAAUCAGAAAGCCACGGCUAACUACGUG
rnacentral:rRNA from 1 species